UACGUAGGGGGCGAGCGUUGUCCGGAUUUAUUGGGCGUAAAGAGCGUGUAGGCGGACAGGUAGGUCUGCUGUGAAAACUCGAGGCUCAACCUCGAGACGUCGGCGGAAACCAUCUGGCUAGAGUCCGGAAGAGGAGAGUGGAAUUCCUGGUGUAGCGGUGAAAUGCGCAGAUAUCAGGAAGAACACCCGUGGCGAAGGCGGCUCUCUGGGACGGUACUGACGCUGAGACGCGAAAGCGUGGGGAGCGAACAGG
rnacentral:rRNA from 1 species